rnacentral:rRNA from 1 species
CAGUCGUACCGACGAGAAAUCAACCUUUCGAGUGCGAACCUGCGGGCGUGCGUGAGUCUUUAACGGGCCUCGCUGUUUGCAAUGUUUGUCCUUUUGGGGUGUACUUUUUCGUAUGGUAGGCCAACGUCAGUUUCGAUCACCGUAAAAUGAUCGGGGGGAAUGUAGCUUCGAUCUCGUAUUGAAGCGUUAUAGCCUCUGGUAGAUGCGGUGACCGAAACUGAGGAUUGCAACGAAUACCCUUCUGGGCUAUCCGUCUGACCUCUG